CCGCUCAGUAACACGUGGCCAAACUACCCUACAGACCGCGAUAACCUCGGGAAACUGAGGCCAAUAGCGGAUAUCACUCUCACGCUGGAGUGCCGAGAGUGAGAAACGUUCCGGCGCUGUAGGAUGUGGCUGCGGCCGAUUAGGUAGAUGGUGGGGUAACGGCCCACCAUGCCGAUAAUCGGUACAGGUUGUGAGAGCAAGAGCCUGGAGACGGUAUCUGAGACAAGAUGCCGGGCCCUACGGGGCGCAGCAGGCGCGAAACCUUUACACUGCACGACAGUGCGAUAGGGGGACUCCGAGUGUGAGGGCAUAUAGCCCUCGCUUUUCUGUACCGUAAGGUGGUACAGGAACAAGGACUGGGCAAGACCGGUGCCAGCCGCCGCGGUAAUACCGGCAGUCCAAGUGAUGGCCGAUAUUAUUGGGCCUAAAGCGUCCGUAGCUUGCUGUGUAAGUCCAUUGGGAAAUCGACCAGCUCAACUGGUCGGCGUCCGGUGGAAACUACACAGCUUGGGGCCGAGAGACUCAACGGGUACGUCCGGGGUAGGAGUGAAAUCCUGUAAUCCUGGACGGACCACCAAUGGGGAAACCACGUUGAGAGACCGGACCCGACAGUGAGGGACGAAAGCCAGGGUCUCGAACCGGAUUAGAUACCCGGGUAGUCCUGGCUGUAAACAAUGCUCGCUAGGUAUGUCACGCGCCAUGAGCACGUGAUGUGCCGUAGUGAAGACGAUAAGCGAGCCGCCUGGGAAGUACGUCCGCAAGGAUGAAACUUAAAGGAAUUGGCGGGGGAGCAC
rnacentral:rRNA from 1 species